rnacentral:rRNA from 1 species
UGAAUUGACGGGGGCCCGCACAAGCGGUGGAGCAUGUGGUNUAAUUCGAUGCAACGCGAAGAACCUUACCUGGUCUUGACAUCCACAGAACUUNGCAGAGAUGCNUUGGUGCCUUCGGGAACUGUGAGACAGGUNCUNCAUGGCUGUCGUCAGCUCGUGUUGUGAAAUGUUGGGUUAAGUCCCGCAACGAGCGCAACCCUUAUCCUUUGUUGCCAGCGGUCCGGCCGGGAACUCAAAGGAGACUNCCAGUGAUAAACUGGAGGAAGGUGGGGAUGACGUCAAGUCAUCAUGGCCCUUACGACCAGGGNUACACACGUGCUACAAUGGCAUAUACAAAGAGAAGCGACCUCGCGAGAGCAAGCGGACCUCAUAAAGUAUGUCGUAGUCCGGAUUGGAGUCUGCAACUCGACUCCAUGAAGUCGGAAUCGCUAGUAAUCGUGGAUCAGAANGCCACGGUGAAUACGUUCCCGGGCCUUGUACACACCGCCCGUCACACCAUGGGAGUGGGUUGCAAAAGAAGUAGGUAGCUUAACCUUCGGGAGGGCGC